CCGAGUGAGGGCCCUCUGGGUCCAACCUCCCACCCGUGUUUAUCGUACCUUGUUGCUUCGGCGGGCCCGCCUCACGGCCGCCGGGGGGCUUCUGCCCUCGGGCCCGCGCCCGCCGAAGACACCAUUGAACGCUGUCUGAAGAUUGCAGUCUGAGCAAUUAGCUAAAUAAGUUA
rnacentral:misc_RNA from 2 species